UAAAGCAAUGACCACUAGCGAGGUAUAGAGUUCCUACGUUCAAAUUAUUAAUGUUACUCGUAGGAACUUCAUACCGUGCUCUUGGACUUGCGACA
rnacentral:pre_miRNA from 1 species